rnacentral:lncRNA from 1 species
CAAUUAAUGAGCAAAACUUUAAUUUGCAAGCUUAUUAUUUUAUAACAUAAAUUAUUUAUAUAUAAUAUACAGUAUAAUAUACAAUUAAUAAUAUAGUAUUUUACAAUUGAUUGCUCUACGACAUAGUCAUAUCGACGAAAUUAUAAAAAUCGUCGAUAUUUCUAGCUGCUGUUUCGUUACUUUUUGAUAUAAAUGCAAGUUCAGAUUUGUUUCUCCCUUUAAACAGCGUGCCCAUUAUUUCAUUACAAACCUGGAUACAAUUAUCCCCGUUGAUUUCUAAACCUAUAACAGCGCCUGAAACGAAAUAAUCUACAGCAUAACCAAGCUAAACUCGAACUCCCAAGGCAAGCGAAAAAUUGUUCGAGAUAUAGCAGGAAUCAGGGGCGAAUCUAGCGUCAUCUGCAAGGAGGGGUGCAGGUUUUGCACGGGGGUGG